CUGAGCCGAGCGGGCACUUCCGCUCUGCGGUCGCCUACCACUUUCCAAAAUGUCCGCCCUAGCAACCGCCGCUUAGCAACCCGGGUCUGCACGGAGGACUGGGCGGUGCAGGGACUGGCAGGAUAGUCGAACAGGAAAAGGGCUAGAAAAAGACAGACCACGAAGCAACAAGUUUUGCAACUGCGCCUGUUGCCGCUGGAUUGCAUAAAACCACAGCAAUAACCUCACCACCAAAAGAGAAGAGAGCGGAGACACGUCACAACCCUCUGCAGCGUAUACUAUGCCCAUUGUGUACAGACGCCAGCAGAACCGACCAGUGACAUUCGCUUUCCUAUAAGAGGCGCUAUGGAUUGUCAGGGUUUAUGAAAUUGUCUGAAAAAGAGAAAAUAUCCAGUGAGUGGCCAUUGGGUGGAGAAAAAUGACUUCUUGAUAUCAGAGGAGAAUGGACAAACUUGUUCAAGAUAUCAAAUAUCCACUGGUUACUUUGGGCCCCUUAGUACCAAUUGAUCCUGGUAUAAACACCACAGCCACACCCAUCUUCUGAUGAUACUUCCUGCAGGGUAAUGCCCCAUGUCACAUGACAUCAUCUCAUACAGGACAAUGAGGUCACAUGACAUCAUCUC